GUAAUGUCUGGGAAACUGCCUGAUGGAGGGGGAUAACUACUGGAAACGGUGGCUAAUACCGCAUAACGUCGCAAGACCAAAGAGGGGGACCUUCGGGCCUCUUGCCAUCAGAUGUGCCCAGAUGGGAUUAGCUUGUUGGUGAGGUAACGGCUCACCAAGGCGACGAUCCCUAGCUGGUCUGAGAGGAUGACCAGCCACACUGGAACUGAGACACGGUCCAGACUCCUACGGGAGGCAGCAGUGGGGAAUAUUGCACAAUGGGCGCAAGCCUGAUGCAGCCAUGCCGCGUGUAUGAAGAAGGCCUUCGGGUUGUAAAGUACUUUCAGCGGGGAGGAAGGUGUUGUGGUUAAUAACCGCAGCAAUUGACGUUACCCGCAGAAGAAGCACCGGCUAACUCCGUGCCAGCAGCCGCGGUAAUACGGAGGGUGCAAGCGUUAAUCGGAAUUACUGGGCGUAAAGCGCACGCAGGCGGUCUGUCAAGUCGGAUGUGAAAUCCCCGGGCUCAACCUGGGAACUGCAUUCGAAACUGGCAGGCUUGAGUCUUGUAGAGGGGGGUAGAAUUCCAGGUGUAGCG
rnacentral:rRNA from 1 species